UGGGUUGUCUCUUAAAUGUCUUUUAACCCCAGAAUGCCUACUCCUUCCUUUUUUGAAAUGACACUUACUGAAGAGCCCUGGCAGUUACGGAAUAUCACAGAUAUUCUGCUCACCUGAUUGUUUCUAAAUGUUAACUUGUGCCUCUACCCCCUCUCCAUUUCCUGUCAGCUGGAGGUCUAGAUGCUUGGUUAGAUUCCAGUCAACAAUUUCUUGGUGAGAUACUGCUGUGUUCUUGGUAUCAUCUUAGGAAGCACAGAAACAUCAGGCCGUCCCAUAAGUGACACUAGGUUUGAUCACUUGAUUAUGGUGGCGGCAGUCAGAUCUGUCAAUUGUGAAGAUUGGUGUUUUCCAAAUUAGGCGUGGUGGCUCACAUCUGCAGUCCCAGCUACUCAGGGGUGCUGAGGUGGGAAGAUCACUUGAGCCUGAGAAGUCGAGGCUGCAGUGAGCUGUGAUCACAUCACUGCACUCCGGCCUGGGGGACAAAGCGAGACGCCCCUCUCUAAAAUAAGUAAAGAUUGAUGUUUUCCUUUUGCAAGUGACCUGUGCAGCAACAUUUGAGUGUUGUGCUAAAAUUCUGUUCCUCAGCAGCCUUUUACCUGAAAGGUUUUGGCAUCCAGUGAUCUUUGCCUGGUCAGUUAUCUCAUUAAUGGGUUAAAAUGUUGGAACCUCUCAUGGCACAUGCUGAGCAGCCAGUAGUCUUCAGGACAAUGGAUUCUCUAGGUAAACUUGUCACCACACUGUUCCAAGUGAGGCUGGAAGACAGUUUGUCAACACCAUAUUUCAGGCUGGAGGUGGAAAGAAGCUGUUGAGGAAACUCCCUUUGCAAGCCCUACUCCCAGCUCCCAGCUGGUGAGACAAUUUACAUGGAAAAACCAUGAAUACAACACAAGAUCUGAAGUGUCUCCACCCUCUAGGCACCUAGGGAAAGCUUGGAUUUGCUUUGGUACACUGUCUAGUUGUACAGGAUCCCUGCAACUAGUAGUCAGACCUGCCUUCCUAACAAACCUGCUGAAAAAGGUAGUAAUAGUUAAUGCAAAGAUGAAAAACACUGGUCUGCCAAAUUAGAAACAACUCCGCAGACCUAACUGGCACUUAUCAUCAUGCACUAUACAUUCAAAUAGGAAAGAACAAAAGAACAUACACAAAAUAUCGGGAACACAUUGUUAACUGUGUCUACAAAGCAGGGUGAGGACAGGGCACGCGGCUCAGGGCCUAUAAUCCCAGUACUUGGCAAGGCCAAGGUGGGAGGAUCGCUUGAGGCCAGGAGUUGGAGACAAGCCUGGGCAACGUGAGACCGUCUCCACAAAAGAAGUUUUAAAAAUUAGCUGGGCAUGGUGGUGAGCUCCUGUAGUUCCAGGGACUUAGGAGGCUGGGGAGGGAGAAUUGCUUGAAGCCAGGAGGUCAAGGCUGCAGUGACCUAUGACGGCACCACUGCAAAAAUAAAGGCAGGCAGGAUGAUGUGUAAGAAUGGACAGAAUUUCAAAAUCAAAUUUCUAGAGAGCUUUUCAGAAUAAAAAGUUUGAAGAGUGAGACGGCAUCCUAAGAUAUUUCAUUUUAUAUUACAUAGUUAAGUUUCAAAUUAUUUUCUGGAGGAAAAUUAAACACCUUCUAAAAACCUAAAGGCAGAUGAAGCUCACAGGUGAAAGUCACUCCACUCUGGGGCUCCAGAAGGCUGAGUCUUAGUCAACAUGACUUUUUUUUUCUUUUCAGAGACAGGGUCUCAUUCUGUCACCCAGUCUGAAGUACAGUGGUACAAUCUUGGCUCACUGCACACCCCGCCUCCCAGGCUCAAGCGAUCCUCCUCCAUCAGCCUCCCGAAUAGCUGGGGCUACAGGCAAGUGCCACCAGGCUCAGCUACUUUUUGUAUUUUUUGUAGAGAUGGGGUUUUGCCAUGUUGCUCAGGCUGGUCUCAAACUCCUGGGCUCAAACGAUCCUCCUGCCUCAGCCUCUCAAAGUGCAAGGCUUAUGGGUGUGAGCCACCACACCCAGUCUUCUACAUGGUUUUUCUGAAAGCUCUGAUUACAUGCUGAAUUUACAAAUGGUGGAAAACAAGGAGUAAUGGUUAAUAAGCUGAAUGGUACAGUACAAAUUACACAAGGAACAAUACAUGAAUUAGAAAUUUAAAAUUUAGUUGAAAUAUAAAAUAAAUUAUUGCCAGAAACACAAAGGGCACAUGAAUACAAUAGGGGAAACAGCUUAAUGGCUUUCUGUUCUCUGAAAACUCAAGGCCCAUCUCUGAGUGAUAAGAGUACCCUAACAGGCAAAGCCCUCUGAGGUCCGGGACCAGGAAGACAGUGCUACUCCACCUACUGGCGGUCUGGCACUAUCUGUAGGCUGGAGUUGGGCUGGGGAUGGUACAUUCAAAAUGGACUUUGGUAAACUAGGGGACAACCCAGACAAACACUGCAGAAAGGAGGAAGGACUCCCUUUCCAGCAUCUCAAAUUCAAGGCUCCAAGUUACUGGGCUUGGGCAAAGUCACACAUUUUCUCAACAAAGGCCAACUGCUGACAAUCCAAAUUUUAAAAACACUGCCAUUAGGCCAGGCGCAGUGGCUCACGCCUGUAAUCCCAGCACUUUGGGAGGCUGAGGCAGGUGGAUCACGAGGGCAUGUGUAACAAGAAUGCAGAUGCCAUUUAUU
rnacentral:lncRNA from 1 species